AGGGCAGGCGAUCAAAUGUUUGAAGGAUUGCCGUAACAUGCGACGUUGACUAUCUUCAAAAUCCAUGCAACGAAUGACACUUCGGCACAAAUGAAACACUAGUGACGCUAGUGCUACAAAAAAUAAACCUAAUGUGAACGAUUAUUGUGACAAGUUUUUUCAAUUCACCCACGCGAGUUCGUGCUCCUUGCGUAGUCUCCAUAAUAUAAUAAUCAUUGUCACUUACGAUCGGCUAGUCAGUACAUCACUUAAUUAUGUAACCAUAAUUCUCUACAAUAAUUCUAUCUAACUUUAUUCGUAACGGACCCAACCUUCGCCAAAGGCGGGGGGGAUUAAGCUUCAAUUUGAACUUGGUAGUAUAACAAUUGUGUUUACAAUUUCCCGCCCUUAUCACGAAAUCAUGUAUCUUUUAGCAUUGCGCCUAAUUUGAUCGGGCCAAUUACUCGAAAAGCAUUAUACGCAGGUUCAUAUUUUUUCUGCCUUUAUUUGCAGUAAAAUAUUCUUCCUUGAUCACAAGUCACAGUUAGUAUUCUCCACAUAUUUGUUCCAAGGUAGAGGUUAGGUUUUUCAGCGUAUCAAAGCGGUUGUCCGAGGUGGCGUAAAUGAACGGGCGCCUCGUACUGAUCGGUACAUACGUACGUGAAAGUCGUGAAAAUCAAUCCGCACCUGCAAACAAGUGUUGACAAAACAUUCUAUUUUCUUGAUCAAAAUACGGUUACUCCUUGAUCUUAAGUUCAUAUGGAAUAACUUUGGUCAGUUUUUCACGUUCCGGCUAAAAUCUUCAUAUCUCAGUGGGUAUUCAUGUACGUGGGUGAAUGUACCACUAUCCAGGUUUACUCUAAUUCUUCGCGAAAAUUUAAAAAUCCUUGCUUGUAUCUGUCAUUUGUACAAACUGAACACCACCAAAUGUAGGAAUAACUGAAUGGCUGUCGAAUAUUGACAUUUCAUGAUUUUAAAGUAGUGUUGGCAGCAUCCAAGAAAAGAAUAUGCACUAUCUGGUGAAAAUGUCGCGGCGACGGUCAAAACGCCCGCCCGAAGCUCCAGGUACUCUGACCUGCUGCUUCUGUGGAUUUUCUGAAGACGACGAAGUUGAAUAUGGAAAACUUUGGAACCAUGAUGGCAUUGUUACGCACUACUAUUGUCUGCUUUUGUCAUCCAACAUGGAACAAAAUGGCAAUGAUAAUGAAGGAAUCUUGGGUUUUUUAACCUCAGACAUACAAAAAGAAUUACGCCGAGGAAAAAGGCUUUCUUGUUCAUACUGUAAGCGAAAUGGAGCAACUUUAGGGUGUUGUAACUCCAGGUGUAAACAGGUAUUUCACUUACCAUGUGGACUGCAGGCAGGUUCACUUCAUCAGUUCUUUGGUGAAUUUAGGUCAUAUUGUAUACGACACAGAAUAAAACAAAAAAUAGAUGAAUUCAUAAUAGAAGAAGCUGCGGCAGCAGGUGAUGUAACUUGUUACAUUUGUUACGAGGAGGUAAAUCCCCAGAAUCCUAUACGAACAUUAUGGGCUCCAUGUUGCCGGAAAAAUGCAUGGUUUCAUCGGAAAUGUGUUCAACGCCUGGCAUUGAGUGCUGGCUACUUCUUCAAAUGUCCUCUGUGCAAUAAUAAAUCAGAAUUUCAAAAGGCUAUGCUCGAGCAUGGAAUUUUCAUCCCAAAUCAAGAUGCUUCAUGGGAGCUUGUGCCAAAUGCUUUUCAAGAAUUACUGCACAGGCAUAAUCAGUGUGACGCUGCCGAAUGUCUGUGUCCAAAAGGAAGAAGUCAUACCAGUGUCAAUGCGAAAUGGGAGCUUGUUUUGUGCAGAUUGUGUGGAUCCCAAGGAGUUCACAAGUCAUGCGGACAAUUAAAAUGGGGCAGUUCUGUUUGGGAAUGUACAGAAUGUACUGGGAUGUUAAAAAAAUCUGAUGAUCCUACACCUCCUGGUGGAAAUGAACCCAAAAAAACAAUAGAUCAUUAUUCGAAUCAGAGCAGCAGUGACAGUGAAAUUUCUGUUGGUGGUAAUAUGACGCCUCCACCAAUAUCAAAACAUGACAACUCACCAUCACCCACACCACCAACUUGGAGAUUACGUCCUGGACCUAAAUCGUUCAAAUUGCAACAAGCAUCACGAAACAUGAGAAGCUUGCAGUUGAUGACAGCAGCUACUUCCACAACAUUCUUGCCUUUGAAACAUGAUAUUUCCUUAUCUUGUGCAUCGGACAUUGGUACUAUUACGAUUCCUGACACAAAAUCUAACAGUGACACAUUACACUCAAAAACGUGUCCCUCUAAAGAAGUCUUGGAAUUGACUGAUCAUGAAUCCAGUAAAUUAAAUGAUGUUAACUCUCAAAGAACCAGCGACUCGUCAAAAGCAAUCAAUGUAAAACCAGAAAAUGCCAAUUUUCAUACUGCUGAUGUUAUUGUAAUUGAUAGUGACGACGAGGUGGAGAUAAUUGAUAUAACACCUAAACACAAUAGUUCGGUGACUACGAAACGAAUCCAAAUUGAGUCUCGCAAUUUGAGUGAAGUAACAACUAAUAUUCAAAAGAUCAAAAAGAAUUCUAAGGUUACCAAAAUGAGGCGUUCAGAACCUUCGGAAGUAUUAAAUAGUCCACCCAAAGUAAAUCCUAGGGUGAACGGUUUAAUUACACUACAUCUAUCGAGUGUCUCAAAUACUACUAAUACAACUUCUACUGCGACAACAAUACCAAAUAUUAAUAGAGCAAAUGUAAUGAAACCUCCGAUCGAUAGUAUGAAUACUACUAGUAUCGUCAGAAACAAUUCAAAUGGAAGCAAAGAAGAGGCAGAUUUGCUAGUAGACGAUAAAGUUUUGCAGAAAAAUCCUGUGCUCAAUCUUAAAAUCACAAAUGUUACCUCAUUACGGCCCGAAUAUUAUGAAAACCCAUCUACAACUGUGAACGUGGAAAAUAUUACCCCUGACUCUUCUGUCACUUUUGCAGGAAGUGUUCAAGGUGAUAUUCCAUCACUGAGUGGUAACCAGCAGUUGCAAGUAGUGCAAAAUCAAAUGAUGGAAAUUCCAAAACCACAGUUGAAAUUCAUCCAACUUAAUACCUCUUCAGUUAGUGGGUCUAAUUUAAAACGGAAAAGUGACGAAUACACAAUGGAUAGCCCUGCAUCUAUCCUACCUAUCACAGAAGAUCCGGAAAUAUCAUGUAAAAAAGUUCGGAUUGAUGAUUCUAACGAUUCUACACCCAAACCCCAGACGAGAAACAUUUCUUGGAAUAUUAAUUCGAAUGACAUAAGUCGUGCAGUUCCAGUAGCUCCAACCUCAAUACCAAUGAGUCAGUCAACUAGUAGUUACAGUUCCCAACAAAGUACAACAGCGUUGCAAGUGAAUAUGAAUGGAACACAAGCUAACAAAAGUUGUAUUAGAUUGAUCAGAAGGGUGGAUCUAGAACAAAAAAAUGGAUUUUGCAAUUACAAUUCUGGAACUGUUGGUAGCAGUUCGGUACAAAAUCAGAGUCACGUAAAUAUCAACCAUAUCAUUAUACCAAAUAAUGUGAAUACUCCAAUUCGAAUACAACUAAAUUCUAUGUCUACAUCCGAAGUAAUGAAAGUCAGCAAUUCCACCCAACCUGAGUUAGUUGUACAACACUCUGUCAGCAAUAUUACAGAAUGUAGUGACAGUAUUCAAAACACUACAUGCCACAAUUUUAAAUCUCCAGUAAAUGAGUUACAAAAUUCGCCAGAAAGGCCAUCUACUUCAAUCAACCCGCAACUUUUUGCACACCUUCCUAAUUCGGAGGAUAUCGUUGCUCCAAAGCCACACACAGUUCAUCAAUCCCAUGAAAAGAUUAGUAAUGAAAAUCAGUCAAUUGCGAAUACCAUGAUGAAAAUAUGCAAUCCAGUAACGCAACUGGGAAAUGGAAGUCUGGUGACUAGCGGUGCUCCAGUCCUGCUGCUGAGGCCGGAUUUGCUCUUUAUUCGAGCUCGAGGACCGCAGACCAUACAAAACCAGAAGCAAUCGCCUUUAAGCAAAAGCCCAGUGCAAUAUCAGAUUCAGCAGAAAGAGUCAAUCAUAAUUCCAGCAUUUCCACUUGUGCUUCAACCCUUCCAACAACUAUGCAACGCCCCUGCAGUUCAUCAACCACGAGAAAAUGUUGUAAUAAACCUCGAGUGAUACCUCGAAAGGUGCCUUUGCAAAAUCUCAAAUUUCGUGUUCUGGAUGAAGAUAUUGUUCAGAUGGUCGUCAAUGAUACCUUCACAGUAAAUCUUAGUACAACUGCUGGUAAUCCCUUAAAAGCAAGAAAUGUACCAGAUCCAAUGAGCGUGCUAGAGAAGCAAGGUCUGCUUCUAUCUUCUACACAACCUAACUAUUC
rnacentral:misc_RNA from 1 species